GAUUAAGUUAUUAAGGGCGCACGGUGGAUGCCUUGGCACUAGAAGCCGAUGAAGGACGUUACUAACGACGAUAUGCUUUGGGGAGCUGUAAGUAAGCUUUGAUCCAGAGAUUUCCGAAUGGGGAAACCCAGCAUGAGUUAUGUCAUGUUAUCGAUAUGUGAAUACAUAGCAUAUCAGAAGGCACACCCGGAGAACUGAAACAUCUUAGUACCCGGAGGAAGAGAAAGAAAAUUCGAUUCCCUUAGUAGCGGCGAGCGAAACGGGAAGAGCCCAAACCAACAAGCUUGCUUGUUGGGGUUGUAGGACACUCUAUACGGAGUUACAAAGGACGACAUUAGACGAAUCAUCUGGAAAGAUGAAUCAAAGAAGGUAAUAAUCCUGUAGUCGAAAAUGUUGUCUCUCUUGAGUGGAUCCUGAGUACGACGGAGCACGUGAAAUUCCGUCGGAAUCUGGGAGGACCAUCUCCUAAGGCUAAAUACUCUCUAGUGACCGAUAGUGAACCAGUACCGUGAGGGAAAGGUGAAAAGCACCCCGGAAGGGGAGUGAAAUAGAACCUGAAACCGUGUGCUUACAAGUAGUCAGAGCCCGUUAAUGGGUGAUGGCGUGCCUUUUGUAGAAUGAACCGGCGAGUUACGAUUUGAUGCAAGGUUAAGCAGUAAAUGUGGAGCCGUAGCGAAAGCGAGUCUGAAUAGGGCGUUUAGUAUUUGGUCGUAGACCCGAAACCAGGUGAUCUACCCUUGGUCAGGUUGAAGUUCAGGUAACACUGAAUGGAGGACCGAACCGACUUACGUUGAAAAGUGAGCGGAUGAACUGAGGGUAGCGGAGAAAUUCCAAUCGAACCUGGAGAUAGCUGGUUCUCUCCGAAAUAGCUUUAGGGCUAGCCUCAAGUGAUGAUUAUUGGAGGUAGAGCACUGUUUGGACGAGGGGCCCCUCUCGGGUUACCGAAUUCAGACAAACUCCGAAUGCCAAUUAAUUUAACUUGGGAGUCAGAACAUGGGUGAUAAGGUCCGU
rnacentral:rRNA from 1 species